UAGUUGCCAGCAUUCGGUUGGGCACUCUAGAGGGACUGCCGGCGACAAGGUCGGAGGAAGUGGGGAUGACGUCAAAUCAUCAUGCCCCUUAUGACCUGGGCUACACACGUGCUACAAUGGGCGGUACAAAGGGCUGCGAACCCGCGAGGGGGGGCGAAUCCCAAAAAGCCGCUCUCAGUUCGGAUUGCAGGCUGCAACUCGCCUGCAUGAAGCCGGAAUCGCUAGUAAUCGCGGAUCAGCAUGCCGCGGUCGAAUACGUUCCCGGGCCUU
rnacentral:rRNA from 1 species